AUGCGAGCGCGAAAGGCUGCUGCGAAUCGCUAUAUGAAAAUUCAUUUUUUAGGGUUCCCAGCAGCCUUUCGCGCUCGUAU